ACUUCUCUAGCAUUGAAUCAAACAGAACCCUCUUAGCGGGAGCAAAAUAGGUGAUGUUGCAAUGAAAGGUUUCACCUUUCAACCUCAUGUUUGAUAUGGUUUUGGGAAAAGAACAGCAUUCUGUCCAAAAGUCAAGUCAAAAGCUUCUCCACACAUUGAUUUCCCAAUCCAGGACUGGUAAUAUCAAAUAAAACAGAGGCCCUUUCCCCAAAUGAAGGCAUUAGUAAAUAUGUCUUUGCUCUCCUGGGAAUUCUGUUCUCUCACAACAUCUUUCUGAAUAAUCACUUUCCAUCGAGAGGGGAGUUUAAUCUUUCCAUUGAACUAUAUGGUGAUGGAAGAGGCCACUGGUUCCAAGGGCAGAAGAGAAGGCUGGUACUACCCUUGGGCAUGGGAGAACCAUUAGGAUCAAGAGCACAGCUACUGGAGCCAGAAUGCGUGAUCUGAAUUUCAUUCUGCUACCAGCUAUGUAAGUUACAUAACCUUUCUGUGCUUUAUAUGUGAAAGAGGGAUAAAAUAGUUUUAUUUAUAGGAAUAAAUAAGUUAAUACAGGUGAUGCACUUAAAACAUGACUUAAUCAGGCAUUUAAUAGGUCCUAGAUAUUAGAGGAUAUAAGAAAAGAAAUAUUCAUUUUCUAAAUUCAGAGUUUAUUUUGGUAAUUUUUUUCAUUUUAAUAAGGACUAGUGGCUUCCAGAAUCUUGUAAUGAUAGAACUGAAAGGAAUGUUUAUUUUACAGAUCUGCAAAAAAGCCCAGAGUUGAGCUCUCUAAGGCCACAUAGCUACCUAAUGGCACAUUCAAGUCUUAAAACCAGACUUCCUGAUUCUAGACCAUUCCCCACUGUACCAUACUCCUUCCCUAGAGGAGGAUGUCCAGGACCAAGAAAGUUCUAUCAGAACAAUAAUUAUAAUCAGAACUACAGUACCUUCCCCAAGGACUCCCAUGUCACUCCAAAGACAAUCUUAAGCCGACUCAUUCAUUCAUUUAUUCAUUCAUUUACUUACUCAGCACUGAGUUAGGCUACCCACAGAAGGUACAGAAAAGUAAAAUAUAGAUGUUGUCCUUAAAGGACUUCAAUUGAAAUUGGGGCAAUAAGGUAGGCAGAAAUUAAAGUGAUACAAUAAUGUAGUUAUUUCUCUAAGGUGAAAAGUAUUGGAAAGGUUAGGCAUCUUUUGCUGUCUAACCAAUCACAUGUUCAAUAAGGAGUUUCUGAUAGGGUCAGUAAAUUUAUGAAUGACUAAAAUAAAUGAAGCCAAGUAGAUCUCCUAUGAGUUGGACUGUGCUUAAUGUUUGCUGUAGCUAUAGGUGUCAGAGGCUUCAAAUUUCUGUCGUGUCUGUUUUUGUCUCCCUGUUAUUCGGGGAUUCCCUACCUCUUCCUUAGACAGAGUCAGUGGUUUGUGGUGGUGAGGUGUUGGGAAAGGGAAGCGCUCUGUAAUUGUAUGGUAAAUCUCAGUGCUUUAGUGUGCCUGGGUCCCUGGGAUGUGACGUUCAUAAGUGCUUCUUAGAAUCCCCCCAUCCUGUAAGUAAGAAAGGAAGGGUCCAGAGGGAUGGAGUCAGGGGAGUGUACUUCUUCCAGGUAGCAUAAAUCUGGUUAAAUCAUUCCGCUGGAGAACAGGACUUUGUUAUGGAAGAGAUUCUGACUUUAUUUCAAAAAAAAAAAAAAAAAAGAAAGAAAAGAAAAAAGAAAAUUUCUUUGUUGCCUGUCAGAGCUAUGAGGUUAUCUUUCUUGGCUCUUCACCAUGAGAACCUGGUGGGGUCUGAGAAGUAAAGCCCAUGAAAGCAAGAGAGACCCCUAAGAGCGCCGACUCCAAGAGUCUAUUUCUCUCAUACUAGCCUACACUCAGCUCCAGUGAUUUGUCGAAAUUAGCAUGAAAGUGUUCCUAUCAAAGUGUGGCUCCAGUGCUCCAGGUAAGCAGAUCUCAGUAACUCUCUGGAUUCCAUUCUAUGUCCAGUUUUCUGGGUGGCUCUUUGCCAUGCAACCUCAGCUCCCUCACGAGUCCAAGAAAAAGUUAUUAAUUUUUAGUUUGUUCAGUUGUUUUUCUUUGUAAAAGAUUGGGAGUGCUGACAGCAUCUACAUGUAUGGCUGAACCCUGAAGGUCCAACUUCAUUAGUUUUUUGCAUUUGCAUAUGCAGCCAUACCGGCACCAUUUAUUGGAGAAACAGUUCUUUCCCCAUUAAAUCUCUUGGCAUUCUUGUCAAAAACCAUUUGACCAUACAUUUGAGAUUUUAUCUCUGGACUUUCAAUUCUGCUCCCAAUCUUUAUGUCUACUCUUAUGCCGGGACGACACUUUAUUGUUUGCAGUAACACUGUAGUAAGUUUUGAAAUUGGGAAAUGUGUCCUCCAAAUCCACUAUUCUUUUUAAAGAUUGUUUUGGUUAUUGCAUUUCCAUAUGGAUUUUAGAGUCAUCUUAUAAUUUUCUGAAAGAUUCCAGCUGGAAUUUUGAAAUAGACUGCAUUGAAUCGAGAUCAUUGGGGAGUUUUGUUAUCUUAAUAGUACUGUCUUCCAGUUCUUAAAUAUCAGAUGUCUUUCCAUUUAUUUUAAUAUCUUUCAAUGAUAUUUUAUAAUUUUAGGUGUACAAAUGUUAUACUUUAUACUGUAUUAAAUGUAUUCCUAAAUAUUUUAUUCUUUUAAUACUACUAUAAAUACUACUAUAAAUUUGUUUUCCAAAUUUCAUUUUUGGAUUGUGCAUUGCUCAUGUAUAGAAAUAAAAUAAUUAAUUUUUUAUUUUAAUCAUUUGAGUAUAGUUAAUAUACAACCUUAUAUUAAUUUCAGGUGUACAACAUCGUGAUUCAACAGCUCUAAACAUUAUGCUCUGCUCACCACAAGUGUAGCUACCAUCUGUCACCAUACGACGCUGUUACAAUAUCAUUGACUGUAUCUCCUGUGCUGUGCCUUUUAUUCCCAUGACUUAUCCAUUUCAUAACUAUUUGGAAAUUGAAGAAUGCAAUGGAAAACAACAAGAAAAAGGCAAGGAGUCAGAGACAUCCCUGCCACGCGGCACAGAGAUUUAUAGCUCUGAGCAAAGGUUUCAACAAAUACUAUUUCUUUACUCCAAAGUCCAUCUAUGUGUGCUUCCUGAAAUAAAGAACAGAGCAUUUCUGUCUUCUGGUCUCUAAUCCCAGGAGCCUUAGCAGCAGAGGCUGGGGGAGUUCCAAAAGGUCUUCUUAUAACUCUGGAGAUAAUGACUGGCUCAAACAAGCUGGCGCCGUGUGGGGACACCCAUAGACUUUAUUUAUCUCUCUCUGUCUCUUUUUUUUUUUCAGGCUGACAUAGUGUCUGCACUGACAUACCCAGUCCAGAAAAAAGAAACUAUGUCUGUUAUAACUUUUACUUAAGUGGUAUGAGUGGAAAGAUCAUAACGCAAAGAUUUGUUGAAAACACACUUCUUAUCCAGACAAUCCAUUGUAAUGUUUCAAUUAAAAAGUUCUACUCACAGAAAGAGAUUUAAAAAAAAAAAAAAAGAAGGACAAGAUCUGGGAUUAAGUUUAACGACCUGGAACAUGCAAAGAACAUAAUAAAAUUUCUGAUUUGGUAUCUGGGUUGUGGGUAUAUGAUCCGAGAUAUAAAUGAGACUCGUUGAUGGCUAUUAUUACCCUGCCCCCACCACAUCCCCUCCCAUGAAGAUAGGCAACAGGGAAGGUGCUUAAAUUCUUUCAGGGCCUAUGGUUGUCACUGAGCAAUUUACUUCUUUGGUAUCUCACAUACAGACGGCUGGUAUAACACACAAAGCUCACCUGGGUGGCAGACUGGGGAAGUGUAGUUCAAAUAUCCCCAAUCCAUGUGACAAUGCUAUAUGAAAAACAUGUGUCUUGAAGCCAGUGUAAUGACACUAAACCCACUCUAGUGCACAUUUUUGUAUAAGGCAUCCAUUUUGGAGCCCAGACCCAAUGCUAGUAGAACUCAGUAUUACAUUACAGUCUGAUUUACCACAAGGUCUGGCGGCAGAGUCCAGGUAUGGUAAUCUUGGAAUUACCUAAUCUGGGAAGGAGCCAACUGGCCUAUGGAAUACCUGAAAAUGAAACACUGUCUACCAGAGAUGGGGAAGUAUAUCCACCUUCGAAACUGUUAAGACACUCUUGAAAACUGAAAACCACACAAAUGCCAACAAUGUCUUGGUUCCUGUGAAGUUCACUGUCUAGUAAUAAAAGGAGAUAAAAAAUACCAAUCUUAAAUAAUUUAAGUGGUAUACUAAGGAUAUAUCCAGGGCACUGUCAGAACACAGAAGAGGGACACACUUAUCCAGCCAGACAAUGAGGACCAGGGAAGGUUGCCACUAUAUCUAGUUAUAAGAAGUUCGGGGUACAGUUAAUGCAUCUUGUCUUGAAGGUGACACUUGUCCUCCAAAUAACUCAGACUCUUCCCAGAACCAUUCCAAAGGACUUAGCUCUUCCCAUAAAUGCUCUAUGUAUUUAUUCAUCUCCAUCCUCAGUGAAUGGAAGAAAGGUCAGAAAUGUGUCACUGCUUUGUAACCUAAGGUCUUCUGCCUUAUCUACUGAAUGAGCUACUGAAUUAAUAUUCCUCCCUACACAAAUUUUUCUUUAAAAAGUCUGUCCUUUCCUGCCUUGCAGUCUGAGCCCCUACUUCUCCGUACAUAAUUCUUCACAGAUCUCUAUCUAACCACUUAGACAAACUGUUUAACUUCAUUUGACAUUAUUUUUUCUGGAAGAGUAAAGCAAAAUUGCCUUAGAUUUUUUUGGUUUUACAUCAUGAAAAAUUUUACCCCACUUGCUAUUUGCUGUUUUCCUUUUCCCAUCUUCCGCAUUCUUCCAGGAGGCCUCCUGAAUGGUCCAUGCUUAAGCUAAAGAAGACUGACAGUUAUUUUCAGUACCAAGUCUCACCUAAUAACGAAAAACCUAGGCACAUUUUCAUUUCCUGUAAAGUUAGCUGAGUCAGGUGAGCUGAAAAUCAGAGAACGGGCUCUUUCUGGGGCUUCCGGGAAAACUCAAGGCCCUAAAAGUGAAUGUUCUCUUCUAAUUGCCUGACAGAGCUAUUUAACAUCCAUGACUUAGCGUUUUACAUCCUGGACAGGGUCUGACCAGCCUGACUUAAUGACAAAGUUAGUUUUGAAAGCCUCUUAUCCAUUUGUCUUUUCUCAUUGGCGAUGUCCAUGAGUCCAUUAUUCCUACGGACUAGAGAGGAACUCAGGAAUGACAAGGAUGGGCCCUUUUGGUUAGUGGCUGGCUAGGAUUUUGUAGUGUAUCCUCUGAAUGCAUUCACUGUCCUACAGUGGGUCUCAGGGUGUGGAAUGAUUUGUUAUUGAGUAAGGGCCAUGCUUAACGUUUUCCAGCCCGCGUUUGGAUGCAAUGCAGGGUCACUUCAAUUACCUUGGAAAUGAGAGUGCUGGUAACCAGUGUAGAGACUAUUUUGGAAUAAGAUAAUAACAUUAUCUAAAGCCACUUCCAGUUUGAUAAUAAAUAUCAUGUACUGAUUGAUAUGAUGGUGCAGAUUUUCUUGUUAGAUCUGCUUAUGGAGUGAAUUACACCAACAGAGGUUUUAACAACAUUGUUGAAAUACAAUUCCCAUACCAUGCAAUUCACCCAAUUAAAGUGUAUAAUUCAAUAGAUUUAGUAUAAUCACAGAAUUGUAUAGUCAUCAUCACAAUCUAAUUUUAAAACAUUUUCAUCACACCAAAAAGAAACCCCAUAAUCAUUAGCUAUAACCAACCAAUGUCCUCAUUUCACGCCAGCCCUAGAUAACGGCUAAACUACUUUCUGUAUCUAUAGAUGCCUCUGUUACAGACAUUUCAUGUAAGUGGAAUCAUAUAGUAUGUGGUCUUCUGUGACUGGCUUAUUUAAUUUAGCAUAAUGUUUUUAAGGUUCAUCCUGUUGUAGAAUAUAUCAGGGCUUCAUUCCUUGUUAUUGCCAGAUAAUAUUCCAUUGAUGCAUAUACAUUUGUUUAUUCAUUCAUCGUUUGUUAGACAUUUGGAUUGUUUCCACUUUUUGGCCAUUAUGAAUAAUGCAGCUAGGCAGUGUUGUUUACAAAAGCCAAUACAUGAAAACAAUCUGACUGUCCAUGGACAGAUGAAUGGGUAAUGAAGAUGUGGUAAAUCUACAAUGUAAUCUUAUUCAGCCAAAAAAACGGAAAUCCUGUCAUUUGCAACAACAUGGAUGAACCAAGGACAUUAUACUAAGUAAAAUAAGUCGGACAGAGAAAAAUAAAUACUGUAUGGUCUCAGAUACAUGUGGAAUCUGAAAAAGCAAAAAACAAACUCAUAGGAAAAGGAAAGAUUUGUUGGUUACCAGAGGUGGAAGGGGGAUCGAAAGAAGGUCAAAAGGUACAAACUUCCAGUUAUAAGAUAAGUAAGUACUAGGGAUGUAAUGUACAACAUGAUGACUAUCAUUAACACUAAUGUAUAGUAUAUAUGGAAGUGGUUAAGAGAAUAAAUGCUAAGAGUUCCCAUCACAAGGAAAACACUUUUUUCUUUCUCAUGUUCUUUUUUUUUUUUUUGUGAUUAUAUGAGACAAUGAAUGUUAACUAAGCUUAUAAUGGUAACCAUUUAACCACAUAUGUAAGUCAAAUCAUUGUACUCUAUACCUUAAACUUAUACAGUGCUGUAUGUCAGUUAUAUCUCAAUAAAACUGGAAAAAACCAAAACAGCUAUAACACUCAUGUUC